UGGGGAGCCCGCAGACUGGCCGUCUCACCUCUCUGGGGGUGCCACCUCUGGAGGCCUGCCACAUGAUCAGAUACUUGAGGGGCAGCUGCGGGGCCGGAGUCCAGGACAGGCGGAUGCUGGAGGAGGUCACCUGGGCCCCCACGCUGGAGCCUCUGGCAGAUGAGGCGGCUGAGCAGGCCGGCCAGCGCGCCAAGCUGCGGGAAGCCCAGCACAUUGUGGACAGUGAUGUCCUGUGGCGGGGACGCCAGGAGCCUCAGUUCAGCCUCAUCCGCGUUCUUCACACCUGCUCGUGAGGAAGGAGGCAAGUCGGCCUGCGCUGGGGUCACCCAACGGGGCCACCACAGUGGGGGCUGGGUCUCCAUGGAGACUGGGCCAGAGGAGAAGAGGCCCACGGGCUACACUCCUCAGCCCACCGCCACGCGAGUGCUGGGCCAGGUGCUCCUGAGGGGUUGGGGACAUCAAGGAAGGGUCUCUGCCCCCAGGACUCCUGCCUCAACAUCUGCAGUUUCCUCCCCACAGGACGGAGUUGAUUCUCCCAUGAGUCCCAGGCCCUGGAGGGUGCCAGGAAGCUCCUCACCAGGGGACAGCAGGCGGGAGUUGCCAGGCACAGGGACAGUGACCAGCAGGGACAGCCCCGGCUCCUCAGUGAAUGUCACACCAGGGAGGUUCAGGCCAUGAGGGCUGGGGCGGGGGGUUCUACAGAAGGCAGCAAACAGCAGGAGAUGGAAAAGGAGCAGCCAAGCUAACGCUGCCCACCUGCACCAUUGCCGCUGAGUGCCCGGCAGUGCCCGGCUCUGCGUGCAGCCUGUGCCGUGGACGCAGAAGCUGAGCUCAGGACCAGGAGUCUAAUGCCAGCUCCCAGCUGCCACCCUGAGCCCAAUCUGGCUGUGAGAGUCCAGCCCAGGGCCAGGGGCCGCACGGUGCUCACCCACAGCGAAGACGAUCACACCCAGGUCCUUGAGGAUGCAGGCAGCGGUAUGCACGUCAUCCUGCGACUUGCCGUCCGUCACCAGAAUCACCACCUUGGCCGCCUCUGGACGCACACCAGCUGCCGGCUGCAGGCUGCCAGGAGGCUGGGCGGUAGCUCGAGGGGGCAGGGAGAGCCUGCCUGUGGAGAGGCCCCCAGAGGAGCCCCAAUCCCCUAGUCAGGCCCUAUCUGCAGGUGAGCAGCCAGACGGGGCUGGUGUGGACCCAGCCGGAGUGUCGGUGGAACAGAGGAGCCGUGUGCUGCAUAUGGGCCCUUGCUUCCAUUGAAGGGCGUGAUGACACUGGCCAGGAAGUCCUUGACCUGCUGGAAGUGACUGUGGCCGAUGCUCCAGGACCCGUCCACCAGGAAGACCAUGUGCCUCCAUCCUCCACGACCCCGGUGGCCGCUGCACACAGCUGUCUGCACAGGAGCUACACACACAGACACCAAGCCAGAUUGCCACUGGGUGCAAACCGGGCACAGAGGAGAAGACCCAGGCUGGAGGUUCCCAGAGGGGCCAGAGGUCGUGGGACCGCCUGCUCCCAGUGGUCUGGCUUGAGUGAAUCCAGGAGCGUGGCAGCCUUAGGUUAAAGCUGGAGAGUGUGUGGUCAGGCGCGAGGAAGAACUUCCUGGCCUCACGCAGGACGUGCCCGGAGCCAGUGAGCUCGAAGAUCUGCAAGGUGUAACCCUUGGAGGGGCUCAGGCCCCCCACCGUGGCCUUGGGGGUCUUGGUGUGAGAAGAUGCACUUACUAAACCUGCCUAGAGGAAUCUGUCACGUGGUGAGAGGAAAGAACAAGAAGAAAUGGCCCAAAGCAGAGCUCAGGAGGUGGGAGUUGAGCACUGGGUGAUUCUCUGGAUCUCAAAUGCCAGGAUGAACCAACUAAAUAUUCAAUGAUGGUCCUGAAACAUUUUAAAUUUGGGAGCUGCUCAUGGCAUUGGGUUACCUUUGAGCCUUUUCUUUAGAAAAACAUACUGAAAUAUUUACGGACAGUGUCGUAUCAUGUCUGGGAUUUGUUUUAAGAUAAUACAGAAUGUAGAGGCGUCAGGGAGAGGGACGGAAAACAAGACUGGCCACACGCUGACAGCCACUGAAAGCUACGUUAUGAAAACAUGAGGCUUCAUUACACAAUGCUCUUUUCUUUUGCAUGUGUUUAAAUUUUUGCAUUAAAAAAUCAGCUCCAACAAAGACAAGAAAGCAAAUAAUAAAAAUGUAUAACAAGUAUAACAAAAAGGAAGAUUAUACAUAUAAACCAAAUAUAUCAUUAAUUUCAUUAAAUAUAAAUGGAAAAAAUCUUUUAAUAAAAAGACCGUCACACUGGACAAAAACAAUACCAGUUAUACCCAGCUUAGAGAACACAUCUGAAGUGAAAGGUGAAAGGUUAGCAGUAAAAGAAGGAAAAAGAUUCAACGCAAACACUACCUGGUGAAGCAACAGCAGCUCAGAUGCAAGAAACAGGGAUAGUGAAGAGCAUUUCAGCAGGAAAAAGGUCCGCCCACCGGGAAGGCACAGUCACUCUACAUGGGCACGCACCAACGACAGAGCCUCAACGCAUAAAGCAGAGAGUGGUGGGCAGCCACAGGAAAGGCAGGUCUGCGAGCACAGGGAGAUUUAAAAUACUUUUGUCAGUAAGGGAUAGGAUGAGCAGACCCAAAACACACCAACUAUGUAAAGUUCUGAACGAUAAGGUAAAAAACUUAAUUAGAAAGCUAUCCCCCACAACGGCAAAUUGUGUAUAUUUUCUUUUUUCUUUUUUUUUGAGAUGGAGUUUCACUCUUGUUACCCAGGCUGGAGUGCAAUGGUGCGAUCUCGGCUCACCGAAACCUCUGCCUCGGGGGUUCAGGCAAUUCUCCUGCCUCAGCCUCCUGAGUAGCUGGGACUACAGGCAUGCACCACCAUGCCCAGCUAAUUUUUUGUCUUUUUAGUAGAGACGGGGUUGCACCAUGUUGACCAGGAUGGUCUCAAUCUCUUGACCUUGUGAUCCACCCGCCUCGGCCUCCCAAAGUGCUGGGAUUACAGGCUUGAGCCACUGCGCCUGGCAAAUUGUGUAUAUUUUCAAAGUCACAUGGAACACUGACAAAAAUUGAUCACAUGCCGGACCAUAAAACGAGGUAUGUUUUUAUUUUUUCUUUGAGAUAAAGUCUCACUCUGUCACCCAGGCUGGAGUUCAGUGGCAGGAUGUCAGCUCAAUGCAACCUCCACCCCCCAGGUUCAAGUGAUUGUCCUGCCUCAGUCUCCCAAGUAGCUGGGAUUACAGGCGCGCGCGCACCACCAUGCCCGGCUAAUUUUUGUAUGUUUAGUAGAGAUGGGUUUCACCAUGUUGGUCAGGCUGGUUUCAAACUCCCAGCCUCAAGUGAUCCGCCCACCUUGGCCUCCCAAAUUGCUGGGAUUACAGGUGUCAGCCACUGCACCCAUGCUGGCUAAUUUUUGUAGAGGUUUCUCCAUGUUGCCCAGGCUGGUCUGGAACUCCUGGGCUCAAGAGAUCCUCCUUCCUUGGACUCCCAAAGUGCUGGAAUUACAGGCACGAGCCACCGCACCCAGCCAGCAAGGAAUUUUCCAAAGGACUGGAAGCAUAUUGUACAUUUCUGGUCAUGAUGCAAUUAAGGAAGACAUCCAAAACGAAAAGUAGGUAGAAAAUCCCCCAUGUUUCAAAACUAAGAAAUCUACUUCUAAGUAGCUUAUGGGUCAAAUAAAAAUGUCAUGAUAAAAAUCAGUGGAUAUUUUUAACUGAAUGAUAAUGAAAACUCUGCUUACAGGAAAAUUUAAUAGUUAACUUCAGAUCUUAUAAAUGCAGGGCAGAAAAUCAAUGAACUUAAGCAUCCAUCUUAAGGAGUUAGAGCAGAAAGUUAAACACAAAGAGAGCAGAAAGAAAUAGAAACAAGAAAUUAAUGCAAUAAAAAACACAUGUAAAAUCAAGAACAGACCAACCAAGCCCAAAUGUGUUUUAUCAAAAGUCUAACAAGAUAGAUAAACUUCCCGACUGCCCGUUGAAAGCAGAGAGAAGAUUCGGUCAAUAACGGGAAUGAAAAGGGCUGUAACUGGAGAGUCUAUGGGAUAAUAUGAACCACCCAUUACACCAACUCAUCAGGACAUUUACAGAAAAUGCAAAUUCCUAUUCAAAAACUAACUUACCGAAACUGACACAAAAAAAACUAAAAAUCUGAGUAGUCCUAUUUCUGUUAAGGAAAUUGAAUCUAUUAUUUCAAGUGUUCACAUGCGUGUGCGUGUGCAUGUGUGCACGCACACACACACACACACCCCGAAAGCCCAGAAGUCAGAGCCAGUGAAUUCCAGCAAACAUUUAAGGAAAAAAAUACCACCACCAUUACACAAACUCUCCCAGAAAAUGGAGUAAGAAGAAUCCUUCCCCAACUCAUCUUAGGAGGUUUAAAACUGAUACCAAACUUAAAAAGGAGUUUAUAGGAAAGAGUAGUUAUUAGCUAAUAUUCCUUCAUGAAUAAAAAUCUUAGACAAAAUACUUGCAAAUCAAUUUAAUAAUAUAUAAAAGGGGAUAGGCCAGGUACAGUGGCUUACCCCAGAAAUCCCAGCGCUUUGGGAGGCCAAGCUGGGGAAAUUGUUUGAGGCCCGGAGACUGAGGCUGCAGUGAGCUAUGACUAUGCCACUGCACUUCGAAGUCCAUCCUGGAUGACAAAGGGAGACCCUGUCUCUUAAACAUAUGUAUAUAGCCAGGUGCAGUGGCACACACCUGUAAUCCCAGCAUUUUGGGAGGCUGAGGCGGGUAGAUCAUGAGGUCAGGAGUUCAAGACCAGUCUAACCAACAUGUUGAAACACUGUCUCUACUAAAAAUACAAGAAUUAGCCAGGUGCAGUGGCGCGAGCCUGUAGUCCCAGCUACUCGGGAGGCUGAGGCAGCAGAAUUGUUUGAACCCAGGAGGCAGAGUAGCAGUGAGCCAAGAUCACGCCACCACACUCUAGCCCAGGUG